rnacentral:misc_RNA from 1 species
CUACCCUCAAGCUCUGCUUGGUGUUAGCGGAUUGCCCACUGUGGCAACCGCUGAAAAUCAUUAGCGGUAGUACACUAUCCCCCUGUAUAGUCCCCAAUCUUGCAGCGGUCUAGUGGACGAACCAGCCUAAAACAACAGAAAUUAGCAA